CCUACGGGGGGCAGCAGUGGGGAAUAUUGGGCAAUGGACGCAAGUCUGACCCAGCAACGCCGCGUGAAGGAAGAAGGCUUUCGGGUUGUAAACUUCUUUUAAGGGGGAAGAGCAGAAGACGGUACCCCUUGAAUAAGCCAUGGCUAACUACGUGCCAGCAGCCGCGGUAAUACGUAGGUGGCAAGCGUUGUCCGGAUUUACUGGGUGUAAAGGGCGUGCAGCCGGAGAGACAAGUCAGCUGUGAAAUCCACGGGCUCAACCCGUGAACUGCAGUGGAAACUGUUUCGCUUGAGUGUCGGGGAGGUAAUCGGAAUUCCUUGUGUAGCGGUGAAAUGCGUAGAUAUAAGGAAGAACACCGGUGGCGAAGGCGGAUUACUGGACGGUUACUGACGGUGAGGCGCGAAGGCGUGGGGAGCGAACAGGAUUAGAUACCCUUGUAGUC
rnacentral:rRNA from 1 species